rnacentral:rRNA from 1 species
CCUACGGGAGGCAGCAGUGAGGAAUAUUGGUCAAUGGACGCAAGUCUGAACCAGCCAUGCCGCGUGCAGGAAGACGGCUCUAUGAGUUGUAAACUGCUUUUGUACGAGGGUAAACGCAGAUACGCGUAUCUGUCUGAAAGUAUCGUACGAAUACGGAUCGGCUAACUCCGUGCCAGCAGCCGCGGUAAUACGGAGGAUUCAAGCGUUAUCCGGAUUUAUUGGGUUUAAAGGGUGCGUAGGCGGUCGGAUAAGUUAGAGGUGAAAUCCCGAGGCUCAACUUCGGAAUUGCCUCUGAUACUGUUCGGCUUGAGAGUAGUUGCGGUAGGCGGAAUGUAUUGUGUAGCGGUGAAAUGCUUAGAGAUCAUACAGAACACCGAUUGCGAAGGCAGCUUACCAAGCUACUUCUGACGUUGAGGCACGAAAGCGUGGGGAGCAAACAGGAUUAGAUACCCCAGUAGUC